UAGUAACCUCAACAGGGGAUGAAUCCCCUGGCAGCCAGCAUUUAACUUUAGCUGUCGGCUGCGGUUGGGAGCUUCCGAAAACAUCUGUGACCCAUAUCUGCUUCUUAUCUGCAAUUAUUCCAUUGUGGUUAGCAACAUCCACCCAGAGUGCUGACAUUUGAGCACCAGUAUCAACUAAAAAAGUUACUGGGGUCUUAAAGGGACCAAGGGGAAAAGUAAUCAACAGGUCUCCUGUCUUAUUUUCAGUGAGCCUCCUUAAAUAAAACCACUGACUGUCCCCCGGCUCACUUACUGGGGACUGCAUGUCUAGUUUCCCGUCCUGCAGACAGUCAUACCUUCCUCUGGGGCAGUAGGCGUUUGGGGAGUGGGAGUUGCCAGCAACUGCGGAUUCGCCCCCUUAUAGUCUCGAAUGUUUAACUCAGUAUGGGGAGGCUCCCUGUUCUUCCC